GAGCUGCUCCAUGCACAGAGUUGUAACAUAAAACCCACACAAACACACAGGGAGGGGAUCUGUCUUUAAAACAAAAUUACCCACAACCCCCUGCACUCCUUUAUCCAGCAUAUGAAAGGACUAGGCCAAAUGAAUGACAAAAAGGAGAGAAUGGAAACUGGGGUCAGGUUGGCCCAGAGAGGAGGCCCAAAUUCUUCCUCUGGGAUAGAAAGAAACGUUCACAGCCACACAUUGAAGGUUUAAUUAUUUCUUUUACUGGCUUGAACACAUACAUACAUAAAAAUAUUACAGCACUCAUAUUCUCACCGCACAUGAAUCACAGUGUUACAAAUGUUCAAAAAAUUACAAACAAAACAAAACGCACACACAAACAGAAAAAAAGAAAAGCUGAAGUCAACACAAAAGAACAUUCGCAUCACUCGCUGGAGACACAAGAUGAAAAAUAACUUGGUCCACAAAAACAAAAAAAGAAAAAAAAAAUACAACAGCACUUUUACUCAUUCAUAUACACCUAUCCAGUCAUUUAACCCCCAUGUCAUAAAUGUUAUGACAAAUGGUGGGGUAAAACAACUAUACAUCGUGCAAUUUAUUUUUGUUACAAUGAUCUUACCAUCACAAGUAUUAUUCCCCUUUAUUAACAUCAGGAGGAGAGCACUUCAAAUAAGAAAGUGCUCUGAGAUAUCAGAGUCUAUAUAUCCAUAUAUAUAUACUAUAUAUGUAUACACAUACACCCGAUCACAGAGAUACAAACAUCUUUGCAAACGUAAUGUUAUACAAUGUAACACACAAACAGAGACAAUAUAACCUGGAGCUUUUUUUUUUUAUACAAUAGUAUUAUGUUGUGUUCCUUUUUUUCUAUUUAGAAAAAAUAAAAUGUUGACCUGAAGCCAACGAAUUAACAACAGUCAUCAGUGCAAUAUUUUCAACAAGAGUAAAAAUAUCAAGUUUAAGACAAGCGAUGCAUAUUUGUUCUGCCUAUACCAAUCGAAUAGAUGAUCGUGAGAAUCACAUCGGUUGCAUCUCCAGGUACGAGGAGUUCCCGAUUGGUUAACCAGGUUGAGCGACGGGGGGCUGGAAACAUCAGCAACGCCACUGGACUGUGGCAAGACACGAGUGCAAACACACAUGCUCACACAACUGCAUGGGGCUUCUCGCAAAAACAACGACAAAAAAAAAUGAUAUAUCUAACUGAUACUUGUCCUCAUUCACUCACCGUUGGCCAUUGUAUCAAGAAAAAAAAAUUACAUAGAAGCAGCAUUGAAACAAACAUCAGGUGCCAUGACUCUUAAAGGCGGCAGGCAGUCUUUUUUGAACAAAUCUGUCGAUGUUUCCUGCAACAGAAGUCAUAGUCUUCUUCUCAAUGUUCAUGUAGUCCUGCUCAGUAGUAACUAUUGGUAAGCCUCAGCUCCUGCAGUUACCCGACCAGGCACUAGGGGGCGUAAAAGGCUCCACAUUUAUGUGCAACAAAACUCCCUGCAUUUUAAUAGUCAUGCAAUGCAUUUCACUUUUUGUAACUACAACAGAAACCAAAAAUGACAAUGCAAAAAUGAAGCAAUCGGCUGAAAUAAAACCUACAUAUAUAAUGUCUCAACCACGCUUGGCGAAAGAAAAAAUUUUUGUUUUUUUUUGAAUAACCAAUGGAUCUUAAUUUUGGUUCAAGGAGAUAAAUUGUCCCGAGUGAAGAUUGUAAAACAAAAAACGAGGAGGACAGUAAGAAAACAUCAAGUAAAACGACCCGGACAGAGCCUACUGAUUCUGUUGACCAGAAAACGAGCACUAGUGGGUAACUGAGCACAGUUAAGGAGAAGGCUUGAGAAAGAGAGCACAUGAUAUUCGAAUACUUUCAAGUCGAGGUAGCUGAUGCAGAGAACCAGGAUAAAAAGUAGAAGGGGAUGCAUUUUUCCCGGGAAAAAAAGGUGUGCACGUGGGGGGCCGUGGCGCGGAAUCUCCACACGGGACAGUUUAGCCUGUAACGAGUCCGAAGCAGCUUUAGGUCACCCUACAUACUUUUACACUUAGGCUAUAGUCUUAAAAAUAACCACAACAUAAUUUAAAUGCAUUAUCUCAAUGUACCUUCAUAAAUAAAAAGACAAACCCAGCCUGUAUUCACAGUGAUGACCAGGGUGUUAAUUCAAAAUACUGAAAGAAGAUUAUAAAGUGUGUCCCAAAGGCGACUUUCCUGAUGUUUUGAUACAAAAAAGGCGAAAGCAGCGGUUUUUAGUAACAUGUUAACCAUAGACAUGGGUUGCACUGGCCUGAAAGCUGUAUGGAAGCCGUCUGCUAGGUGAAGGCAGAGCGCAAUAGACUACUUGUACAGAGAAAAAACACAGUAAAGCUAUGUGUACAGUACUUAGGAAUGAGUCACUUGUUAUUUCGAGGACAUAUUUCAGCACUGGUCACCAAUGCCACACGAUUUGAUUGAUGAAACGACUUAUGGUUCGUGUUAAAAGAGUGUUUAGCCAAAACAGAGGAUGGCCUUCACACACCUCUUGCAACUAUUCCAGCAUUCAGCCACAGCAUCAAGUGCUAUCUCGAUUUCUCCAGGUGGACAGGUCAACAGGUCAAGCCCUGGUUAAGCCACACAGUCCAGAUCUGAUGACUUACACAUUCAAUAAAAAGCUAUAGUACCAACGCACAUCCCCAACAGCAUGCGUUUCAGUUCCUCUCAUCGCCAGAUCUGACACGGGAAAGAAAAAGGCUACAGCCCUCAUUUGGUUUUAAGGUAUAACACGAUGUCUUGGUGUCCUCCGAAAGCGGCGAUGUGCAACGCGCUCCAGCCCUCCCGGUUCGCCAGCCGUAUAUCGGCUCCGAACUUCACCAGCAGUUUAACGAGCUCCAGAUUCCCGUCGAUCACCGACUGAUGCAGCGCUGUCUGUCCCUCGGGGCCAAACGAAUUAACGUUAAACUCGCAGUUGGUCAUGUUCUGCAGCAGCGAAUGGAGCUCCUUCGUGUUGCCUUUCUUCACCGCCUCCUGGAAGACUCUCUGCGGCGCCGAGCACGUCGAUAUCUCCGCCUGGCUCAUGAUGCUCUCCGCAGCCUUUAUAGUACUGGGAUAGUCGCGGCUUGACUGGACUAAAACCAGCUUAGACGAGUGAGACUAGAAAUAAAACGAGCGUAUAUCCAAAAAAGGACAAGUAAACGACACACUUGGUGUGCAAAUGCAGUCGGUGGCUAUAUAUCCAAAGACCUAGCGAGAAAGUACAAUCAUCCACAAAAGUGUAAUUCUCCGUGUGUGUGAGUGUCUCUCAGUAGCAGCACCAGGUUAUGGCAGAAUAUGGAGUUAUUAAGUGUGGGAAAGCAGGCGUGUAUCUCCGAUUAAGCGCAUCGAGGGCCGUUAGCUUUUAGAGACGUCUGAGGUAACGCUAGUUUACCUCAGGAAAUGUGUCUCUCGCGUCCCGCGGUGCUUUAUUUGGCAAGGGGUAACUGAAAAAACAGAGAAACUGUUAAAUCCACUAUUUCACGCUGUCGAGUAGCGGCUUCUUAACGUAAACGGGUGAAGAUGUACUUACUCUUGACGUUUGGACGGGAAGAAGUGACUCAAAAACUGCCGCUUGGCCGCUGUUGUUUGUCCGUCGCGCGGUCCCGGUGAUUCUCUGCCCAGAGCUGCGUUGCCAGGGAGAUAUUUUAGACGAACUAGUUUGCAUAACAAUACGUCUGCAUAGAACCAAGUAUUGUGGAAUGGGAGGACUGGGCGACGCUGAUUGGCUGCAUAGUUGGCUUGGGGGCGUGUCCAAGCGUUGGGGGGCGUGGCCCAGUGGCUAAACAUCCCACAGCAAUAAACCGACUGCGUUAUUAUGUUAAUAUGCUCUUCGGCGAACCAAAU
ensembl:lncRNA